rnacentral:rRNA from 1 species
GUUGGCACCUCGAUGUUGGCUUAUGGAAUCUAAGAUACGCAAAAGUAUUUCAAGAUGGUUUGUUCAACCAAUAACCCCCUACAUGAGCUGAGUUCAGACCGGCGAGAGCCAGGUUAGUUUCUAUCCUUGAUAAAAAACAAUGGUUGUAGUACGAAAGGACCCAACCAAUAUAAUAAAUUAUUUCACAAACAAAUUCUCCCAGAUAAAUACUAUAUU